AAGCCAAUAAGUUAAGUUAAACUGUGGGGUUCAUGUCCCCUUAAUAUGUUAUUCAACAUUCGGCUGA
rnacentral:tRNA from 1 species